GGGAUUAUAGUAUAGUUGGUAGUACAUUAACUUUGCACGUUAAAAACAUGGGUUCAACUCCCAUUGGUUCCA
rfam:Sugiyamaella lignohabitans strain CBS 10342 mitochondrion genome.